CCUACGGGAGGCUGCAGUGGGGAAUAUUGGACAAUGGGGGGAACCCUGAUCCAGCCAUGCCGCGUGUGUGAAGAAGGCCCUCGGGUUGUAAAGCACUUUCAGUGAGGAAGAACGCCUGGUGGUUAAUACCCAUCAGGAAAGACAUCACUCACAGAAGAAGCACCGGCUAACUCCGUGCCAGCAGCCGCGGUAAUACGGAGGGUGCGAGCGUUAAUCGGAAUUACUGGGCGUAAAGCACGCGUAGGUGGCUUGAUAAGCCGGUUGUGAAAGCCCCGGGCUCAACCUGGGAACGGCAUCCGGAACUGUCAAGCUAGAGUGCAGGAGAGGAAGGUAGAAUUCCCGGUGUAGCGGUGAAAUGCGUAGAGAUCGGGAGGAAUACCAGUGGCGAAGGCGGCCUUCUGGACUGACACUGACACUGAGGUGCGAAAGCGUGGGUAGCAAACAGGAUUAGAUACCCCAGUAGUC
rnacentral:rRNA from 1 species